AGGCGCUGCAGCGCUGCACUGCUCCCCUUUGCAUCCAGCCCUGAGCCAACGACCCUUUGCAUGGAGAGGGGCUGCAGAGUGGGACCCCCCAAUGCUGCCCUCCCGGCCCCACAAAGCCAGGAUGGGGGCUGCAGUGUGGGAGCUGCUGCUUUCCUUACGCAGCUCAAUCUCUUUCUCUAUUUCUUUCUGCUGAGAUAGUCUGGGAGCCAUCGCCUCCACCCCACAGGGAGGCAUCUAGUUGGAGAUGAUAUAGGAUUUCUUCCUGCAGCUGCUCCGUGCUUGCCCUCCCCUUUGCCUUUCUUCCAUACAAGUGACAGUUUUGGUGGGGAUGUAUGGCUGCUCCAGCAGACCCCAGGCUGGGGGUCGCUCCUCCCCAUUGCCACACCGUUGGGGGCAUGAAAUCGGGCGUCCCUUCUGCGGAUCCCUCCACCUUUGGGGGAUAAUGAAGUCCCUGGGAAUGCACAGCCGAGGGGACAUCCCUGCGGGGAUGUGGGCACCCAACCUCAUAGCACUGAGCUCCGGGAGCACCAAACACAGGGAACCCCGAGCUCUGAGAGCUCCCGACCCACGUGCAGCCCCUGCUCUGCGCAGCACUGUGGUGUGCACUGGGGCAGAGACUCAGCCCCUCACUGCCUCCUCUCCUCCUGCCCCACAGCCCUGCCCUUCCCAGCCGCAGUGGGAGACCCCCCCGGUCCCCAGCAGCUGUCCCACAUCACCCUGGCUCUGAGCAUCCCCAUCCCUCUUAGGUCAGGGCUGGCCGUGGCUGAGCACCGACCUCCCCCAUUGCAGCAGGAAGCUGCGGAGAGCAGGGCGGGGGUCCCCACUAUGCCCCCUCCCCUCCCCCCCCUUUAGCAGGGUGAAGCCACACACCUCACGGCUGGCACACCCACCCCUCCGCCUGCAUGCACGGAGACACUGCUUUCAUCUCAGCCAAGAAGGAAAUCUGCCUGGGGACCCCCAGCCUGUGCGAGAGGGGCUGCUCCUGCCCAUGCUAUGCCCCCCUAUGAGCCCACCCCCCACUUCUCCAAACGAGCUGGGUCCUGUUUCUCCCCCCUCCCCCCCCCCCCCUUCCCAUCAGACACCCCCUACCUGGUCCCGCAUGCGCUCCUGCUGCCCGCGCAGCGCCAGUGCGUGCUGCGGGUAUUUAUUCUUCAGGUGGUCCAUGAAGGCGUCCCGCUUGCGCUCCAUCUCCGACUUCUGGAGGCCGGUGAGGGCCUCGAGGCUCUGGGCGGCGAUGACGGUGUGCCGGCGCUCCGAGCGCUAGGGCACCAAAACGGGCACAGACAAGACACAUGAGCCGGGCAUCGCCUCCCCCGGCACAGACAGACAGAGGGACACAGACACACGGACAGACCAAAAAAGAAAAUGAAAGGGAAGCCGUGCCGAGUGCUCUCACACCGCGCCUCUAACUCAUGCCUGGAAGUCCCUGCGUGCUGCCAACACCCAUCGACCACGCAGCGGCUUCCCGACCCCGUGGCGCUCAGCCCCGUCUGCCCCACUGCUGCUGGGUGAGCUCGGGGACCCCGUGCUGCCCAGCCCACGUCACCCCACGGCCACCGUCUCCACCACGGGCAACUGUUUGGCAACCUGCAGCACUCCUGCUGCGGGAAUCCACCACCGACAGGAUUCCUGUCUGUGCUGCCGACACCGCUCGGCUGCUCAAGGUCAUACAGAGGGGUUUGCUGUGAGUUGGGUGAUGACAUCAGUGCAGCCCCCAGCAAAAGCCCUGGGACACCAAAGCCAUGGGACACCAAAGCCAUGGGACACCAAAGCUGUGGGACACCGAAGUCCUGGGACACCAAAGCCAUGGGACACCAAAGCUGUGGGACACCGAAGUCCUGGGACACCCUUCCUUGCAUAGCAACAGAGUCUGAGCGAGCACUGCAACUCCUGACCCAUCCCACCACACUCAGCCUGGUCCCCGUGUCACCCUCGCACGCUGAUCGUGUGCAAAAUGCCCUCAGACCCCCGAGAGAUGAUGUCACCAUGGAGGUGGCCGCUGGGCACAGCACUACCUGUGUGUGCCUCUCCCUCUGUAGGACAGCCCCCAAACCGCGCUGCUCGCUGAGGGUGCGCUAUGGGGCAGCGCGUCCCUCCUGCCCUCAGCUGGUCACUGAGCGCUUAUCUGGGGGGCAGAGCAGUGGAGAUGUGCAGGGGCUGCACCCAGGGGCCAGCAUCUGGAACCCAACAUCCAGAAGUUGGCACCCAGAACCCAGCAGCAGGCACCCAGCACCCCGUAUCCACAACCCAACACCCAGAACUCAGCUUCCAGAAGCCAACACACAGAACCCCAGUGCCCAGAACCCCGUAUCCAGAACCCAACACCAAGAACUCAGCACCUAGAACUCAGCUUCCAGAACCCAGCACUCAGAACCCAGAACUCAGCUUCCAGAACCCAACACAACCAGAAUCCAGAACCCAGCAUUCAGAACCCAGAACUCCACAUUCAGAACCCAGAACUCAGCUUCCAGAACCCAGAACUCAGAACCCAGAACUCAGCACUCAGAACCCAGAACUCAGCUUCCAGAACCCAACACACCCAGAACCCAGAACCCAGCAUUCAGAAUCCAGAACUCAGCUUCCAGAACCCAGAACUCAGCACUCAGAACCCAGAACUCAGCUUCUAGAACCCAGAACUCAGCAUCCAGAACCCAACACACCCAGCACCCAGCACCCAGAGCCCAGCACCCAUCCCACCCACAUUCCCGACUCCUUCCCACCCUCCUCCCGGUGCUGAGCCACACAUCAGCAUGCAGCUCCCUGCUCCCUGAUUACACGCUCCGGGAGCGGAACGCGUCAGCUCUCUGUCUCCCUGCGACUGCUAAAGAGGAUGAUUUGAACAGCCCUGCACAAUCCACACCGGGGUCAGAGCAGAGCUGGGAACCGACGGGAGCUCUUCCACCUCUGGCUGCACUGCAUCCGCUCCUGUACUCCUCACCGGGCUCCAGCAAGAACAGGAGCAGGCAUCACGAAGGAGGAGAUGCUGCAGACCCCGCGUGCACCCUUCCCCACUUCACCCCUCCGGUUCCAUCAGUGGGAUGGGAUGAGCAUCCUCCAGGCAUUAUCCCACGGCAACCAGAAUCCAAUGGGAUAUCCUAGAAAUCCCCCUCCGGGCAGCAGGGAUCGCCCAUCCAUCCUCCUUACCGGGUGCUGCGGGUGGGAGAGGACCCCAAAAUCCUGCCCUGUGACCCGUGGGAG